GUAGGUGAACCUGCGGAAGGAUCAUUAACACGUAUCCAACGUAAAAACCCCCCUGUGAACCUUUAGACCUGUUCUCCUAGCCCAGUGCGAUCCAGCAAUCCCGGUAAAUCAUUGUUGAACAGUAUUGAUUCGGGACCUCUGACAAAUGAGAAGUUACAGUUAGGAUAUGAGCGGAGAUAGCUGCAUGGCAUCCCGAGGCAGUCAGUGUCUGAAAGUGUCAUUGAUUUUCUCCUUCUCUCUCUUCUCCUCU
rnacentral:misc_RNA from 1 species